AGUGUACCGCAAGUGGUGCACUUUGCAGAAGUAGUUGUCCGCAGCCUCCACGCUGGUUGCGGAAGCCGCUCAGGGAGUUGCUGUCAGUUCUAUCUGAGCCGUCUGGCCACGCGCCACAGCCAUGGCAGCCCAGCACGCGGGUGUAGGUGGCCCUCUCCCUGUCUCAGCUCUCAUAGUGAUCCCUUGUCAGCUUACAGCCUCCAGCCAUCUCAAUAAAGGAUCUCAUACUCACCAGAACUGGACAUGAUGAAGUUGCCAUCCUUGGACCAGGCAAGGAAAGUCUCGGGGCAACCUCUGCACACGGACCCCUCCAAGUGUCGUCAUCCACCCUGGAUCAUCAGACAGGCGCAGACAUCGCUUGGGUCCUCCUCAGUCCACCCGGGGUGGACACGCAGCCCUCCCUGCAGCUUCCUCCUUCUCCCCCGCACUGAGGAGGAACUGCCACCCGCGGAGUCAGAGGCGGAGCAGAGGCUGGAGGUGCCCCGGCGCGAGAAGAGAGUAAACCUCUGGCAGGCAAGGGGUGUGGGUCCCACUGGGAGCCUUGGCCGCUCACCUGGGCCCAGCCCGGCCCCCUGAGAUGGGCUCCGUCUCCUCAGCGCUGGCGCGGUCCCGGUCCCGCAACGCCGUGGUGCAGUUGGGCUCCUCGCCACCGCCCCAUCCCGAGGCGCCUCCGGCUGCCCCCGCUGCUCGCGGAGACCGUUUUGCGCUCCACAAGACCCGGAGGCUUGGACCAGGGUGUGGAGAGGCGGCCACCCUGCCCGCAGCCUGGGAGUCUCAGCGGGUAGCGCCGAGCCCGGA
rnacentral:lncRNA from 1 species